CUUGUACUCCCUCUGUCCGGAAAUACUUGUCAUUGAAAUGGAUGUAUCUAGAUGUAUUUUAGUUCUAGACACAUCCAUUUUGAUGACAAGUAAUUCCGGACAGAGGGAGUACUUC
rnacentral:pre_miRNA from 1 species